rnacentral:rRNA from 1 species
AUGAACGCUGGCGGCGUGCCUAAUACAUGCAAGUCGAGCGAACAGACGAGGAGCUUGCUCCUCUGACGUUAGCGGCGGACGGGUGAGUAACACGUGGAUAACCUACCUAUAAGACUGGGAUAACUUCGGGAAACCGGAGCUAAUACCGGAUAAUAUAUUGAACCGCAUGGUUCAAUAGUGAAAGCCGGUUUUGCUGUCACUUAUAGAUGGAUCCGCGCCGCAUUAGCUAGUUGGUAAGGUAACGGCUUACCAAGGCGACGAUGCGUAGCCGACCUGAGAGGGUGAUCGGCCACACUGGAACUGAGACACGGUCCAGACUCCUACGGGAGGCAGCAGUAGGGAAUCUUCCGCAAUGGGCGAAAGCCUGACGGAGCAACGCCGCGUGAGUGAUGAAGGUCUUCGGAUCGUAAAACUCUGUUAUUAGGGAAGAACAAAUGUGUAAGUAACUAUGCACGUCUUGACGGUACCUAAUCAGAAAGCCACGGCUAACUACGUG